UAACGCUCGGAAACGGACGCUAAUACCGCAUACGUCCUACAGGAGAAAGCAGGGGACCUUCGGGCCUUGCGCUAUCAGAUGAGCCUAGGUCGGAUUAGCUAGUUGGUGAGGUAAUGGCUCACCAAGGCGACGAUCCGUAACUGGUCUGAGAGGAUGAUCAGUCACACUGGAACUGAGACACGGUCCAGACUCCUACGGGAGGCAGCAGUGGGGAAUAUUGGACAAUGGGCGAAAGCCUGAUCCAGCCAUGCCGCGUGUGUGAAGAAGGUCUUCGGAUUGUAAAGCACUUUAAGUUGGGAGGAAGGGCAUUUACCUAAUACGUUAGUGUUUUGACGUUACCGACCAAAAAGCACCGGCUAACUCUGUGCCAGCACCCGCGGUAAUACAGACGGUGCAAGCGUUAUUCGGAAUUACUGGGCGUAAAGCACGCGUAAGUGGUUUGUG
rnacentral:rRNA from 2 species